rnacentral:rRNA from 1 species
CCUACGGGAGGCAGCAGUGGGGAAUAUUGGACAAUGGGCGCAAGCCUGAUCCAGCAAUGCCGCGUGAGUGAUGAAGGCCUUAGGGUUGUAAAGCUCUUUUACCCGGGAUGAUAAUGACAGUACCGGGAGAAUAAGCUCUGGCUAACUCCGUGCCAGCAGCCGCGGUAAU